AUAUCAAUAAGCGCAGGAAAAGAAACCAACAGGGAUUACCUCAGUAACGGCGAGUGAAGCGGUAAUAGCUCAAAUUUGAAAUCUGGCCUCUUGGGGUCCGAGUUGUAAUUUGUAGAGGAUGUUUUGGGUACCGCCCCGGUCUAAAUUUCUUGGAACAGAAUGUCAAAGAGGGUGAGAAUCCCGUCUUGGACCGGCGGUAGGGCCUGUGUAAAACUCCUUCGACGAGUCGAGUUGUUUGGGAAUGCAGCUCAAAAUGGGUGGUAAAUUUCAUCUAAAGCUAAAUAUUGGCCAGAGACCGAUAGCGCACAAGUAGAGUGAUCGAAAGAUGAAAAGCACUUUGAAAAGAGAGUUAAACAGUAUGUGAAAUUGUUGAAAGGGAAGCGCUUGCAACCAGACUUGAGCGCGGCGGUUCCCCCGGUCUUUUGGCCGGGCUACUCCGUCGUGUCCAGGCCAACAUCGGUUCUGAGGGUCGGUCAAAGGCCUUGGGAAUGUAUCUACCCACGGGUAGACUUAUAGACCAGGGUGUCAGCGGCCUCUCGGGACCGAGGAACGCGCUUCGGCUCGGAUGUUGGCGUAAUGGUUGUCAGCGACCCGUCUUGAAACACGGACCAAGGAGUCUAACAUCUAUGCGAGUGUUUGGGUGUCAAACCCGGAACGCGAAAUGAAAGUGAACGGAGGUAGGAAGCUUCGGCUGCACUAUCGACCGAUCCUGAAGUUUACGGAUGGAUUUGAGUAAGAGCAUAGCUGUUGGGACCCGAAAGAUGGUGACUAUGCCUGAUAGGGUGAAGCCAGAGGAAACUCUGGUGGAGGCUCGCAGCGGAUCUGACGUGCAAUCGAUCGGUCAAUUGGUAUAGGGGGCGAAAGACUUAUCGAACACAUCUCUUGGGUUAGGCCU
rnacentral:rRNA from 1 species